GUCUGAUGGAGCACGCCGCGUGAGUGAAGAAGGGUUUCGGCUCGUAAAACUCUGUUGUUAAAGAAGAACAUAUCUGAGAGUAACUGUUCAGGUAUUGACGGUAUUUAACCAGAAAGCCACGGCUAACUACGUGCCAGCAGCCGCGGUAAUACGUAGGUGGCAAGCGUUGUCCGGAUUUAUUGGGCGUAAAGCGAGCGCAGGCGGUUUUUUAAGUCUGAUGUGAAAGCCUUCGGCUCAACCGAAGAAGUGCAUCGGAAACUGGGAAACUUGAGUGCAGAAGAGGACAGUGGAACUCCAUGUGUAGCGGUGAAAUGCGUAGAUAUAUGGAAGAACACCAGUGGCGAAGGCGGCUGUCUGGUCUGUAACUGACGCUGAGGCUCGAAAGUAUGGGUAGCAAACAGGAUUAGAUACCCUGGUAGUCCAUACCGUAAACGAUGAAUGCUAAGUGUUGGAGGGUUUCCGCCCUUCAGUGCUGCAGCUAACGCAUUAAGCAUUCCGCCUGGGGAGUACGGCCGCAAGGCUGAAACUCAAAGGAAUUGACGGGGGCCCGCACAAGCGGUGGAGCAUGUGGUUUAAUUCGAAGCUACGCGAAGAACCUUACCAGGUCUUGACAUACUAUGCAAAUCUAAGAGAUUAGACGUUCCCUUCGGGGACAUGGAUACAGGUGGUGCAUGGUUGUCGUCAGCUCGUGUCGUGAGAUGUUGGGUUAAGUCCCGCAACGAGCGCAACCCUUAUUAUCAGUUGCCAGCAUUAAGUUGGGCACUCUGGUGAGACUGCCGGUGACAAACCGGAGGAAGGUGGGGAUGACGUCAAAUCAUCAUGCCCCUUAUGACCUGGGCUACACACGUGCUACAAUGGAUGGUACAACGAGUUGCGAACUCGCGAGAGUAAGCUAAUCUCUUAAAGCAUUCUCAGUUCGGAUGUAGGCUGCAACUCGCCUACAUGGAGUCGGAAUCGCUAGUAAUCGCGG
rnacentral:rRNA from 2 species